UGUGUGAGUGUGUCUGUGUGAGUGUGUGUGUCAGUGAGUGUGUGUGUCUGUGUGAGUGAGUGUGUGUGUCUGUGAGUGUGUGUGUCAGUGUGAGUGAGUGUGUCUGUGUGAGUGUGUGUGUGUCUGUGUGAGUGAGUGUGUCAGUGAGUGUGUGUGUCUGUGUGAGUGAGUGUGUGUGUCUGUGUGUGAGUGUGUGUGUCAGUGUGAGUGAGUGUGUCAGUGAGUGUGUGUGUCUGUGUGAGUGAGUGUGUGUGUCAGUGUGAGUGAGUGUGUCAGUGAGUGUGUGUCUGUGUGAGUGAG